rnacentral:rRNA from 1 species
ACGGGAGGCAGCAGUGGGGAAUAUUGGGCAAUGGGCGAAAGCCUGACCCAGCAACGCCGCGUGAGGGAAGAAGGUCUUCGGAUUGUAAACCUUUGUCUUAUGGGACGAUAAUGACGGUACCAUAGGAGGAAGCCACGACUAACUACGUGCCAGCAGUCGCGGUAAUACGUAGGUGGCGAGCGUUAUCCGGAAUUAUUGGGUGUAAAGGGUGCGUAGGCGGGAUGUAAAGUCAGAUGUGAAAUACCGCGGCUUAACUGCGGGGCUGCAUUUGAAACUUAUGUUCUUGAGUGCGGUAGAGGUAAGUGGAAUUCCCAGUGUAGCGGUGAAAUGCGUAGAUAUUAGGAAGAACACCAGUGGCGAAGGCGGCCUGCUGGACGACAACUGACGCUGAGGCGCGAAAGCGUGGGGAGCAAACAGGAUUAGAUACCCUGGUA